GAAUGCUACUAGGCAAAAUUAAAUUGGGAGGAACGUAUUUGGAAAUAGACUUUUCAAUUUUUCGAUGGAACAUAGAAUAUAUAUUAUAAUCGACUCAUUAUAAAAUACAGAACAUACUAUUAUAUAUAAAAAUAAAUAUGCACUGUUUUAAGACACGUAAUAUAAUAUUUCUAUAAUUCCAACUGUUAAAUAUAAAAAUAUCAUUCUUUAUUAGUUUAGGUUUUUGAAAAAUAACAGUCAUCAUAUUCUUUAAACUAGUAUCAAAGCAAAAGGUUCUAAGUUCGAGUCAUAUCAGACUUCUAAUAUAAUUGGUUUUUUCCCUUUUAAUUCAAGUUCACUUCAUGAGCCUAUUAAAAAGUUUCGAACAUAACCCAACAUUAGAAAGUUUCGAAUCCAAACUUGACAGAGAGUGUUAAAUAUAAAAAUAUUGUUAUCUGUAAGCUUAAACUUUUAAGACCUGUUUGGUUUCUCCAAACAAAUGUAGAAAACGGUUUUUUCAAUUUUCCAUGUGAUUGGACUAAGGAAAAAACAAGCCUUAUGAAAGAAAAAAAAAAAACCCAAAAUUUAUAACAAUUAGUGUCUUUAUUUUUAAAAAAAUUGAAAAAUAAAAAUGUUAGUUUUCCCUGAAAUAUGAAAAAAAAAUUAUCGAAAAUGCAUAUUUUCCUUCAAACGAAGCAAAAAAUUAGAAAAAAAAAAUGAAAAUUUCUUUUUACACUUUUCCAAAAUAAGGCUAAAUUAUAGAAAAUCUCUUUGUUAAUACUCUUUUUUACUUUUGUCUAUGUCAUCCAAAAAUCUCCACUUUACCUUCUUAAAAGAUAAAAAAUAUUCACAGAAAAUACACUAUGACAGAAUGACCGAAUUACCCCUCAUCUUCUUCGGGGUGGGUGUGGAUCGACGAAGAGGUGGGCCGGUGAGGGCGAGGGCGAAGGUGAGGCGGCGGAGGCAGGCAAGGGCAUGUGUGUGGGCAUGGAUAGAGAGGUGGUUGAGGGCGAAGCGGUGCAGUCGAGAAUGAGGAAGAAAAAAGAUUUCAGGAGUAUUUUGGAUAUAAAAAAUAAAAUAUAAACGGAAUUCUAACGAUGAGAAUGAAAGUGAACAUUUUUAUUUUUUAAGAUGGCAAAUUGUAGAUUUUUUAAUAACAAAAAAAAUAAAAAACGGAUAUUGAUAGCGAGGUUUUUCGUAAUUUAGCUAAAACGAAAUAAUCCAAAA
rnacentral:lncRNA from 1 species